rnacentral:misc_RNA from 1 species
GUAGGUGAACCUGCGGAAGGAUCAUUACUGUAAGAAACAAAGAGUCUUGAGACUGCGUUUAGGCGUGUGCUCGACUCCUAUUCUUUCAUUCACAUACACCUUUUGUGCACCAUGGGAGAGAUACUUCUCCCCACAUAUAUAUACACACCUAGUUAUAUGCAUGUCUUAUGCUCUACGGAGUGAUGAAAUGUAACAACUUUCAACAACGGAUCUCUUGGCUUUC